rnacentral:rRNA from 1 species
AGGGAGUUUGAUCAUGGCUCAGAUUGAACGCUGGCGGCAGGCCUAACACAUGCAAGUCGAACGGUAGCAGGAUGUGCUUGCACAUCGCUGACGAGUGGCGGACGGGUGAGUAAUGCUUGGGAACUUGCCUUUGCGAGGGGGAUAACAGUUGGAAACGACUGCUAAUACCGCAUAAUGUCUACGGACCAAACGGGGCUUUUAGCUCCGGCGCAAAGAGAGGCCCAAGUGAGAUUAGCUAGUUGGUGAGGUAAAGGCUCACCAAGGCGACGAUCUCUAGCUGUUCUGAGAGGAAGAUCAGCCACACUGGGACUGAGACACGGCCCAGACUCCUACGGGAGGCAGCAGUGGGGAAUAUUGCACAAUGGGGGAAACCCUGAUGCAGCCAUGCCGCGUGUGUGAAGAAGGCCUUCGGGUUGUAAAGCACUUUCAGUUGUGAGGAAAGGUUGGUAGUUAAUACCUGCCAGCUGUGACGUUAACAACAGAAGAAGCACCGGCUAACUCCGUGCCAGCAGCCGCGGUAAUACGGAGGGUGCGAGCGUUAAUCGGAAUUACUGGGCGUAAAGCGCACGCAGGCGGUUUGUUAAGCUAGAUGUGAAAGCCCCGGGCUCAACCUGGGAUGGUCA